rnacentral:misc_RNA from 1 species
AUGAGUUUUCUAAACUCCAAACCCUUGAGAACUUACCUAGUUGCCUCGGCGGACUGGCCCGGGAAGACCUGCCCUGCAGCGAGUUACCCUGUAACGAGUUGCCCUGUAGGCUCUCGCCCUGUAGUCUGUCCGCCGGCGGCCGACCUAAAUUCUGUUUUAUUGUGGCACUUCUGAGGAUUAUUCUAAAUGAAUUA